rnacentral:rRNA from 1 species
GCAUAUCAAUAAGCGGAGGAAAAGAAACCAACAGGGAUUGCCUUAGUAACGGCGAGUGAAGCGGCAACAGCUCAAAUUUGAAAUCUGGCCUCUUUGGGGUCCGAGUUGUAAUUUGCAGAGGGCGCUUUGGUGUCGGCAGCGGUCCAAGUUCCUUGGAACAGGACGUCACAGAGGGUGAGAAUCCCGUACGUGGUCGCUAGCCUUCACCGUGUAAAGCCCCUUCGACGAGUCGAGUUGUUUGGGAAUGCAGCUCUAAAUGGGAGGUAAAUUUCUUCUAAAGCUAAAUACUGGCCAGAGACCGAUAGCGCACAAGUAGAGUGAUCGAAAGAUGAAAAGCACUUUGGAAAGAGAGUCAAACAGCACGUGAAAUUGUUGAAAGGGAAGCGCUUGCAGCCAGACUUGCCUGUAGUUGCUCAUCCGGACUUUUGUCCGGUGCACUCUUCUAUAGGCAGGCCAGCAUCAGUUUGGGCGGUUGGAUAAAGGUCUCUGUCAUGUACCUCUCUUCGGGGAGGACUUAUAGGGGAGACGACAUGCAACCAGCCCCGACUGAGGUCCGCGCAUUUAUGCUAGGAUGCUGGCGUAAUGGCUGUAAGCGGCCCGUCUUGAAACACGGACCAAGGAGUCUAACAUCUAUGCGAGUGUUUGGGUGUCAAGCCCGAGCGCGCAAUGAAAGUGAACGGAGGUGGGAACCCCUCGGGGCGCACCAUCGACCGAUCCUGAUGUCUUCGGAUGGAUUUGAGUAAGAGCAUAGCUGUUGGGACCCGAAAGAUGGUGAACUAUGCUUGAAUAGGGUGAAGCCAGAGGAAACUCUGGUGGAGGCUCGCAGCGGUUCUGACGUGCAAAUCGAUCGUCAAAUUUGGGCAUAGGGGCGAAAGACUAAUCGAACUAUCUAGUAGCUGGUUCCUGCCGAAGUU